rnacentral:sRNA from 1 species
ACACAAGAGCUUUGCUGGCAUGACUCUGACGGAGAUGGUCUAACAAACGGAUUCGAACUUGGCGAUCCUUACUGUCAAUGGCACCAAGGCUUACAGCCAACAUGGACAGGCAACGUCACACAUCCAGGUAUUCACAAUGUUGAAGGAUGUUUUCCAAGAGCACGCCAAGCUGUUCAUUAGACAGAACUCGUUGACACAACAAAAACAACAACAACCCAAUAUUAAAUCAAUAAACAUUUGAUCUGGAAAUGUGUUGC